GGGUUGUGAGGUUAAGCGACCAAGCGUACACGGUGGAUGCCCUGGCAGUCAGAGGCGAUGAAGGACGUGCUAAUCUGCGAAAAGCGCCGGUAAGGUGAUAUGAACCGUUAUAACCGGCGAUGUCCGAAUGGGGAAACCCAGUGUGACUCGUCACACUAUCAUUAACUGAAUCCAUAGGUUAAUGAGGCGAACCGGGGGAACUGAAACAUCUAAGUACCCCGAGGAAAAGAAAUCAACCGAGAUUCCCCCAGUAGCGGCGAGCGAACGGGGAGGAGCCCAGAGCCUGAAUCAGCAUGUGUGUUAGUGGAAGCGUCUGGAAAGGCGCGCGAUACAGGGUGACAGCCCCGUACACAAAAGCGCACAUGCUGUGAGCUCGAUGAGUAGGGCGGGACACGUGGUAUCCUGUCUGAAUAUGGGGGGACCAUCCUCCAAGGCUAAAUACUCCUGACUGACCGAUAGUGAACCAGUACCGUGAGGGAAAGGCGAAAAGAACCCCGGCGAGGGGAGUGAAACAGAACCUGAAACCGUGUACGUACAAGCAGUGGGAGCCUCUCUUUAUGGGGGGUGACUGCGUACCUUUUGUAUAAUGGGUCAGCGACUUAUAUUCUGUAGCAAGGUUAACCGCAUAGGGGAGCCGAAGGGAAACCGAGUCUUAAUUGGGCGUUAAGUUGCAGGGUAUAGACCCGAAACCCGGUGAUCUAGCCAUGGGCAGGUUGAAGGUUGGGUAACACUAACUGGAGGACCGAACCGACUAAUGUUGAAAAAUUAGCGGAUGACCUGUGGCUGGGGGUGAAAGGCCAAUCAAACCGGGAGAUAGCUGGUUCUCCCCGAAAGCUAUUUAGGUAGCGCCUCGUGAAUUCAUCUCCGGGGGUAGAGCACUGUUUCGGCUAGGGGGCCAUCCCGGCUUACCAACCCGAUGCAAACUGCGAAUACCGGAGAAUGUUAUCACGGGAGACACACGGCGGGUGCUAACGUCCGUCGUGAAGAGGGAAACAACCCAGACCGCCAGCUAAGGUCCCAAAGUCAUGGUUAAGUGGGAAACGAUGUGGGAAGGCCCAGACAGCCAGGAUGUUGGCUUAGAAGCAGCCAUCAUUUAAAGAAAGCGUAAUAGCUCACUGGUCGAGUCGGCCUGCGCGGAAGAUGUAACGGGGCUAAACCAUGCACCGAAGCUGCGGCAGCGACACUUUAGUGUUGUUGGGUAGGGGAGCGUUCUGUAAGCCGUUGAAGGUGUCCUGUGAGGGGUGCUGGAGGUAUCAGAAGUGCGAAUGCUGACAUAAGUAACGAUAAAGCGGGUGAAAAGCCCGCUCGCCGGAAGACCAAGGGUUCCUGUCCAACGUUAAUCGGGGCAGGGUGAGUCGACCCCUAAGGCGAGGCCGAAAGGCGUAGUCGAUGGGAAACGGGUUAAUAUUCCCGUACUUGGUGUUACUGCGAAGGGGGGACGGAGAAGGCUAUGUUGGCCGGGCGACGGUAGUCCCGGUUUAAGCGUGUAGGUGUGUGUUCCAGGUAAAUCCGGUUCACUUUAACACUGAGGCGUGAUGACGAGGCACCACGGUGCUGAAGCAACAAAUGCCCUGCUUCCAGGAAAAGCCUCUAAGCAUCAGGUAACAUCAAAUCGUACCCCAAACCGACACAGGUGGUCAGGUAGAGAAUACCAAGGCGCUUGAGAGAACUCGGGUGAAGGAACUAGGCAAAAUGGUGCCGUAACUUCGGGAGAAGGCACGCUGACACGUAGGUGAAGUGAUUUACUCAUGGAGCUGAAGUCAGUCGAAGAUACCAGCUGGCUGCAACUGUUUAUUAAAAACACAGCACUGUGCAAACACGAAAGUGGACGUAUACGGUGUGACGCCUGCCCGGUGCCGGAAGGUUAAUUGAUGGGGUCAGCGCAAGCGAAGCUCCUGAUCGAAGCCCCGGUAAACGGCGGCCGUAACUAUAACGGUCCUAAGGUAGCGAAAUUCCUUGUCGGGUAAGUUCCGACCUGCACGAAUGGCGUAAUGAUGGCCAGGCUGUCUCCACCCGAGACUCAGUGAAAUUGAACUCGCUGUGAAGAUGCAGUGUACCCGCGGCAAGACGGAAAGACCCCGUGAACCUUUACUAUAGCUUGACACUGAACAUUGAGCCUUGAUGUGUAGGAUAGGUGGGAGGCUUUGAAGCGUGGACGCCAGUCUGCGUGGAGCCGACCUUGAAAUACCACCCUUUAAUGUUUGAUGUUCUAACGUGGACCCGUAAUCCGGGUUGCGGACAGUGUCUGGUGGGUAGUUUGACUGGGGCGGUCUCCUCCUAAAGAGUAACGGAGGAGCACGAAGGUUGGCUAAUCCUGGUCGGACAUCAGGAGGUUAGUGCAAUGGCAUAAGCCAGCUUGACUGCGAGCGUGACGGCGCGAGCAGGUGCGAAAGCAGGUCAUAGUGAUCCGGUGGUUCUGAAUGGAAGGGCCAUCGCUCAACGGAUAAAAGGUACUCCGGGGAUAACAGGCUGAUACCGCCCAAGAGUUCAUAUCGACGGCGGUGUUUGGCACCUCGAUGUCGGCUCAUCACAUCCUGGGGCUGAAGUAGGUCCCAAGGGUAUGGCUGUUCGCCAUUUAAAGUGGUACGCGAGCUGGGUUUAGAACGUCGUGAGACAGUUCGGUCCCUAUCUGCCGUGGGCGCUGGAAGACUGAGGGGGGCUGCUCCUAGUACGAGAGGACCGGAGUGGACGCAUCACUGGUGUUCGGGUUGUCAUGCCAAUGGCACUGCCCGGUAGCUAAAUGCGGAAAAGAUAAGUGCUGAAAGCAUCUAAGCACGAAACUUGCCCCGAGAUGAGUCUUCCCUGAGACUUUGAGUCUCCUGAAGGAACGUUAAAGACGAUGACGUUGAUAGGCCGGGUGUGUAAGCGCAGCGAUGCGUUGAGCUAACCGGUACUAAUGAACCGUGAGGCUUAACCUUACAACGCCGAAGCUGUU
rnacentral:rRNA from 1 species